CAGCCGCCGCGGUAAUACGAAGGGUGCAAGCGUUAAUCGGAAUUACUGGGCGUAAAGCGUGCGUAGGCGGUUUGUUAAGUCUGUUGUGAAAUCCCCGGGCUCAACCUGGGAAUGGCAGUGGAUACUGGCUCGCUAGAGUGUGUCAGAGGAUGGUGGAAUUCCCGGUGUAGCGGUGAAAUGCGUAGAGAUCGGGAGGAACAUCAGUGGCGAAGGCGGCCAUCUGGGACAACACUGACGCUGAGGCACGAAAGCGUGGGGAGCAAACAGGAUUGGAUACCCCGGUAGUCCCUGUCUCUUAUAC
rnacentral:rRNA from 1 species